CGCGUAGGCGGAUGUUUAAGUCCGGUGUGAAAGAUCAGGGCUCAACCCUGAGAGUGCAUCGGAAACUGGGCAUCUUGAGGACAGGAGAGGAAAGUGGAAUUCCACGUGUAGCGGUGAAAUGCGUAGAUAUGUGGAGGAACACCAGUGGCGAAGGCGACUUUCUGGACUGUAACUGACGCUGAGGCUCGAAAGCGUGGGGAGCGAACAGGAUUAGAUACCCGUGUA
rnacentral:rRNA from 1 species